GCACCGCUAGUGUAUGGAACACAUACCGUUCCUUUGCUCCCAAAUAUCAUCAGCUGUCAAAUAAAUGGUGAGAUGGGGUUCGAUUCCCCGGCGGUGCA